GGCAAAGCCAAUUACCCAACUUUGAUUCUUAUAUUGUAGAAGAGGAAGAAGGUUCAGGUGGUUAUGGCACUGUGUAUAGAGCUCGAAGGAAGAAUGAUGGAGCUUUAGUUGCCCUUAAAUGUCCUCAUGCCAAUGCUCAUAAGAUCUAUGUUAACAAUGAGCUGAAAAUGCUGGAGCGUCUUGGGGGCAGAAACUUAUAAUACGAUAUGAAGGAUGUGUUAGGAGUGAGAAUUCUGAUUGCUUUGUUCUGCAGUAUGUUGAGCAUGAUAGACCUGAGGUGUUGAAAAAAGAAAUCGAUGUUUUUCAGUUAAAGUGGUAUGCUUUUUGCCUGUUCAAAGCUCUUGCAAAUCUUCAUAGACAGAGAAUAGUUCAUAGAGAUGUGAAACUAGGAAACUUUCUUUUCUCUCGUAAGACCAACAAAGGUUAUCUUAUUGAUUUCAAUCUUGCCAUGGAAAUGCAUCAAAAGUACAGGAGUACAGGUUAGUUCCUCUUUCUGGAGCUUGAAAUUUAG